rnacentral:misc_RNA from 1 species
AACUUUUGGCAACGGAUCACUUGGCUCUCGCAUCGAUGAAGAACCCAGCGAAAUGCGAUAAGUAAUGUGAAUUGCAGAAUUCAGUGAAUUAUCGAAUCUUUGAACGCACCUUGCACCCUUUGGCAUUCCGAAGGGUAUGCUCGUUUGAGUGUCAUUGUACUCUCACACUCCCAAUGCUUUUGGAUUGGGAGCGGUGGACUUGGGUGUUGCUGCUUUACGGUGGCUCGCCUCAAAUGGAGUAGUGCAACUCUUGGUUGGACAUAGUACGGCGUGAUAAGUGUCUUCGCCGGCGCCUCACUAGAGGGUGGCUGAUCAGGAGCUCUGUGCUUCAAACCGUCUUCGGACAAUCUCUGACAACUUGACCUCAAAUCGAGUAGGACUACCCGCUGAACUUAAGCAUAUCAAUAAGCGGAGGCU